rnacentral:rRNA from 1 species
UACGAAGGUGGCGAGCGUUGUUCGGUAUCACUGGGCUUAAAGGGUGCGCAGGCGGGAAGGAAAGCGUCUUGUGAAAUCCCCCGACUUAACCGGGGAAUUGCUUGGCGAACUGCCUUUCUUGAGGCAAGUAGGGGUGCAUGGAACUCUUGGUGGAGCGGUGGAAUGCGUAGAUAUCAAGAGGAACGCCAGAGGUGAAGACGGUGCACUGGGCUUGUCCUGACGCUGAGGCACGAAAGCGUGGGGAGCAAACAGGAUUAGAUACCCGCGUA